GAUAUGUUAUGAGGUCUUCGGACCGGCGGUAAGCGGGACCGUCUUCGUGUCGGUCUUGCCGAACGCUGGGAAGAUGACCAAACUUGAGCAUUUAGAGGAAGCAAAAGUCGUAACAAGGUUUCCGUAGGUGAACCUGCGGAAGGAUCAUUA
rnacentral:rRNA from 1 species